rnacentral:rRNA from 1 species
UACGUAGGGUGCGAGCGUUGUCCGGAAUUAUUGGGCGUAAAGAGCUCGUAGGCGGUGUGUCACGUCGAUCGUGAAAACUUACAGCUUAACUGUGAGCGUGCGGUCGAUACGGGCAUCACUGGAGUUCGGCAGGGGAGACUGGAAUUCCUGGUGUAGCGGUGAAAUGCGCAGAUAUCAGGAAGAACACCCGUGGCGAAGGCGGCUUUCUGGGACGGUACUGACGCUGAGACGCGAAAGCGUGGGGAGCGAACAGG